rnacentral:rRNA from 1 species
GACGAACGCUGGCGGCGUGCCUAAUACAUGCAAGUAGAACGCACAGUUUAUACCGUAGCUUGCUACACCAUACACUGUGAGUUGCGAACGGGUGAGUAACGCGUAGGUAACCUGCCUGGUAGCGGGGGAUAACUAUUGGAAACGAUAGCUAAUACCGCAUAAUAUUAAUUAUUGCAUGAUAAUUGAUUGAAAGAUGCAAUUGCAUCACUACCAGAUGGACCUGCGUUGUAUUAGCUAGUAGGUGAGGUAACGGCUCACCUAGGCGACGAUACAUAGCCGAACCGGGAGGGGGGUUGGACAACCCGGGAAUGAAACAAGGGCCCAGAUCCCAAGGGGGGGAGCAAGAGGGAAUCUUUGGCAAAGGAAGGAAGGCCGACCGGGCCACGGCGGCGGAGGGGAGAAGGUUUUCGGAUCGUAAAGCUCUGUUGUAAGAGAAGAACGGGUGUGAGAGUGGAAAGUUCACACUGUGACGGUAUCUGACCAGAAAGGGACGGCUAACUACGUG